UACAGAGGGUGCGAGCGUUAAUCGGAGUUACUGGGCGUAAAGGGCGCGUAGGCGGUUAUAUAAGUGAGAUGUGAAAUCCCUGGGCUUAACCUAGGAACUGCAUCUCAUACUGUAUGACUGGAGUAUUGUAGAAGUGGUAGUGAAUUUCCGGUGUAGCGGUGAAAUGCGUAGAGAUCGGAAGGAACACCAGUGGCGAAGGCGGCUACCUGGACAAAUACUGAACGCUGAGGCGCGAGAGCGGUGGGGAGCAA
rnacentral:rRNA from 1 species